CCCGCGCGCCCGCCCAAGCCCCCGGCGGCUCUACGCGGUUCCCAGAGGACAGAGCCCACGCUCCGGGGACCCGAAGCGGCGGGGCGGAGCGGAGGGGCGCCGGGCGGGCGCACCGGGGGCACUGGACCGGAGCUGCGGGCGCGGGGCGGCGGCCCGGGCGGGCGGGCGACAUGCAGCGGGACGGCGGCCAGGCUGCGGCUCCUGCAAAACCCCUUCUCCCACCUCCAGAUGAGACAGGUGGCCUGCCCCCAGGAUGCUCUGUGAUCUGCACCCACUGCCGGGAUCCCUCGUCUCUGCCCAUGCAGUGCGUUGUUCUGGCCAACCAGGGUAACCCAAAGGAACAGGACACAGGGGAGCCAAAGAAAAGGAAAGGGGGCUGGCCUAAAGGCAAGAAAAGGAAACCCGCAAGGGAUAUUUCCAUUCCCCGUGCUCCUGUGACAGGGUACGUGAUCUUCCUAAAAGAGCAGAGGAGUCAGCUAAGGGCCAAGCAUCCAGACCUGCCUUUUACAGAAAUCACAAAGAUGUUGGCGGCUCAGUGGGCUCAGCUGUCUCAAGAGAAAAAGCAAAGGUAUGUUUAUGAGGCAGAUGAAGACAAGCAACGCUACAUACGUGAGCUGCAGGCCUACCAGAGCUCCCAGGUGUGCAGAGCCUUCCUGAGGAGACAAGCGGCACAAGAGGCGCAGGCACUGUUGGGACCAGGCACACCAGGAAACAGAUUGGAGAGGGAGGACCUUCCAUUCUCACCACUUAAUGGGCAUGAAGGCAAUGACCUGUACUGUAGGACCUGCAGGCAGUUCUUCAGCUCCCUGCAUAACAAGAAGGAACACCUGCUGGGAAAACAGCACCUGCAGAAGCUCGCAGGGAAAUUCGAAAAAGAUUCCACAGAAUACUUAAAGCAUCUGGAACCGCCAGAGCAAAACGAAGGUCAGAAUUUGCACAAAAGGGACUUGGAGGAGGAAGCCAUGUGCCCUGAUCCACUUCUGCUGGGAGGCCUGAUUCCAGGGAAGCCUUUUGCCUCAUUUGACUUGUGUUUCUUGCAAGAGUUUAUCUUUAAACUUCUGAAAAUCAAGGAAUUUGAGCUCAGAGAGCUGAGGAGGACUCUGGAAAGAGCCCGAGUAGAGCAGGACGCCCUGCAGAGACAGCUGGUCGAGUUCCAGGUGCCCCUUUCAGAGCCAGCAGCAGAGGCUGGAGGUGGAGCUGGCGGGCCUGAAGACCUACGGGGUCAUCCUGGAGAAGGAGUUUGAGAACCUGAACACGGUGCUGAUGCUGUCCCACUUUGGCCUGCAAGCGAUGGACAUGGUAAACUGCUCUGAACGCGCCUUCCAACUCUGCAGCUUGAAGCAGUGCUUCACCCCUGCACCAGCAGCCUGGACCUCUCCCGCAGCUCAGAGGCCAGCUUCCACA